rnacentral:tRNA from 1 species
AAUUAAUGAACUUGUAAAAGUAUAUAUUUUGAAAAUAUAAAAAAGAAUUUUUUUUUCUAUUAAUUU